UACGUAGGUGGCAAGCGUUGUCCGGAUUUACUGGGCAUAAAGGAUGCGUAGGCGGCCAUUUAAGUCAGAUGUGAAAUACCCGAGCUUAACUUGGGUGCUGCAUUUGAAACUGGGUGUCUAGAGUGCAGGAGAGGUAAGUGGAAUUCCUAGUGUAGCGGUGAAAUGCGUAGAGAUUAGGAAGAACACCAGUGGCGAAGGCGACUUACUGGACUGUAACUGACGCUGAGGCAUGAAAGCGUGGGGAGCAAACAGG
rnacentral:rRNA from 1 species